ensembl:misc_RNA Metazoa_SRP Metazoan signal recognition particle RNA
GCCAGGUGCAGUGGCGUGCACCUGUAGUCCCAGCUACUUGGGAGGCUGAGACAGAAGAAUUGCUUGAACCCAGGAGGUGGAGCUUGCAGUGAGCUGAGAUCGCGCCACUGCACUCCAGCCUGGGUGACAAAGCGAGACUCCAUCUCAA